rnacentral:rRNA from 1 species
GAUGAACGCUGGCGGCGUGCCUAAUACAUGCAAGUCGAGCGAACAGAUGAGGAGCUUGCUCCUCUGACGUUAGCGGCGGACGGGUGAGUAACACGUGGAUAACCUACCUAUAAGACUGGGAUAACUUCGGGAAACCGGAGCUAAUACCGGAUAAUAUAUUGAACCGCAUGGUUCAAUAGUGAAAGACGGUUUUGCUGUCACUUAUAGAUGGAUCCGCGCCGCAUUAGCUAGUUGGUAAGGUAACGGCUUACCAAGGCAACGAUGCGUAGCCGACCUGAGAGGGUGAUCGGCCACACUGGAACUGAGACACGGUCCAGACUCCUACGGGAGGCAGCAGUAGGGAAUCUUCCGCAAUGGGCGAAAGCCUGACGGAGCAACGCCGCGUGAGUGAUGAAGGUCUUCGGAUCGUAAAACUCUGUUAUUAGGGAAGAACAAAUGUGUAAGUAACUAUGCACGUCCUGACGGUACCUAAUCAGAAAGCCACGGCUAACUACGU